AGGAUGAACGCUGGCGGCGUGCCUAAAACAUGCAAGUCGAACGGCCUGACUUCGGUCAGGCAGUGGCAAACGGGUGAGUAACACGUGGGAACACGCCUUCGAGUGGGGAAUAACGCUGAGAAAUCAGUGCUAAUACCGCAUAUGGUCGAGAGACUAAAGCAGCAAUGCGCUCGGAGAGUGGCCCGCGGUCGAUUAGCUAGUUGGUGGGGUAAUGGCCUACCAAGGCGGCAAUCGAUAGC
rnacentral:rRNA from 1 species